UCUAAAUGUAAACUUCACAUAUGACCUUGAGAUUUUACAAGACUAGAAGCAAGAUGUCCUAGAACAGGUUUGAUUGGAGAUAGGCCUAACUAGACUUGAUGCAUUCUUACAUCCAAGCCAAAAAUUUUACCUAUUAAGCAAAUGAGACAUAUAUUGAUGAUAGAUGGAAACCUAGUCUAACCUAAUCGAGUAACACCAACGAUCGAUUUUGUGAAAUGAGA
rnacentral:lncRNA from 1 species